rnacentral:rRNA from 1 species
UCCGUAGGUGGAUAAUUAAGUCAGGGGUGAAAGUCUGCAGCUCAACUGUAGAAUUGCCUUUGAUACUGGUUAUCUUGAAUUAUUAUGAAGUAGUUAGAAUAUGUAGUGUAGCGGUGAAAUGCAUAGAUAUUACAUAGAAUACCAAUUGCGAAGGCAGAUUACUAAUAAUAUACUGACACUGAUGGACGAAAGCGUGGGUAGCGAACAGGAUUAGAUACCCUGGUAGUCC